rnacentral:piRNA from 1 species
UGUAACUGCUACAUGGUACCCAGAUGGCCUC